CAUUGGAGUUGCUCUUAAUAAGCUCCAUCAAGAAUAGCCAAACAUACAUGUUUUGAAUUUUGAAGCUGCUAAAUAUGUUGCCAUAUUGGGGGUUUUCCACUUACAAAUUGAUUUUAGUUGUACGAUAAAUCUCUAAAUCCUGCACUAUAUUCUGUUCUUUACAUAGUAGCUAGAUUACCCUGAGUCCUGCCUUCGAACUAAACCUACUCCGCCUUCACCAUAUCUUCGUGCGCUCGUUGGGUCAACAAUAUUGAUUAUGCCGAUUAACUGUUCGACGGUUUGCCUUUGAAGUGAUUUACAUGUUUGCACGUCUGGAGGAAGAUAUCAGAGUAAGCACUAAGCUCGUCUAAUUCGUGGGCAGCAUAUCAUGUCCAGCGAAGGAGUCAAUCCGGCUUGAAUGAGGAAACAAAUGUGACAUAAUAUUAUAUUAGCACUUUUUAUGUAUGUGUCAAUGCUGAAAGAUUAAUGUUGCAUUCUCCUACUAGUCUUUUCCCAGGGUCCUUUUCAUCAUCAAACCCCUCCCUUAUUAGGUAAUCUGAAGAACCUUUUGGCCGAGACGUGUGAUCAUCACUCAUCAGUCCACUGCCGUUUGUGGUAUCUAAUUAUUUUUUUGUCAACUCUCUUUGCUGAAGGUACUUUCAUCAGUAAUUUUUUGUGAUCCAGGAAAUUAUACUUGCUUCUCGAACAUUCCUAAAUGGCUAAUAUAGGUAUCCAAAGGUAGUUUCAGAUGCAUCCUGUAGAGUCGACUAUGUUUAGAAAUUGUAGCUUAUAUCUUCAAGACCAAUCUAAGACCACUAAUAAUAUUUAUUGAUGUAUCAUUAAAAAUCAUAGAAAUGAUUAUGAAACUAAACAUCGAGAGAUAUUUUAUAAGAUUUCACAUUAUACUCUUUUUUUUCAUCUGCUAGUGACAAUAAAAUGUCAUAAUUUAUAAAAUUUGACCCUUAAGAAAUAGACAUAACAUGAAAUUAGGAUGAGUAUUAUUACUCAACAUUCAACAAUUAUUCCUUCUAUUCUCAAGAUGAUGUCUCACUUUUCCGUACAUGUCACUCAUGUCUUUUUUUGAUCCAUAUGAGUUACGAAGGCAGUACAAAGUACAAAUAAGGAGAGGGAGGUUUGAACCUGUAACUUAUCGUUCACUGCACCUCAAUUUUAACCAUUAGGCCAAGACAUCGUUGGUAUUUCAAUCAUGUCUUUGAACAAUAGGUUUUGUGUGAGAUGCGUCACUAAAUUUGAUGAAUAUUUGCAAUUUUAUCUAGUACAAGCUAUUUUGUGUCAUUUUAGCAUGGACUUAUGCUAGUUUUCAAAUAUUUGAUGUCAUUACUCAAUUUAACAUGAACAUAUAUCCUUUUUUUAUAAGUUAUUAAUUAUUAAGCAUAUGCUUUGUAAGUUCCUAGUUGUUUAGCUACUUUUAUUUUUCUUGGUAAGCAAGAUAGGAUUAUAGUACACAUCAAAACAAGUUUUUAAGACUUAAAGAUAUCUAAACUUGGAACCUUCUAGAAAGGUCUUAACCUAGAGGGACUCAACAAUCCCUAUUAUAACCGAAGAGAUCAUUACAAACGAAUUUGAAUCAUUUCCUAUCUCGGGAGUUGUUUUUUCAGGGUAUAUUCUAUCCUAUUUUGUACUGUAUAUUCUAUGGUAUUCUCUACAUCUGUAACUUGAAAACUAAAAAGCGCAUUAUCUAUUUCAUUCCAUAUGUUGUAGAUAACACUGAAGAUUAGGGGUAAAUGUUAUUCGGAUUCGAACCAAAAUUCAAUCUAAUUCAAUCCAAAUCGAAUUAGUAGC